rnacentral:rRNA from 1 species
CAUACCUAUUCGAAGGGAUAGGGUCGGUUUGGCCGGAUUUCACACAGGUGUUGCAUGGCUGUCGUCAGCUCGUGUCGUGAGAUGUUGGGUUAAGUCCCGCAACGAGCGCAACCCUCAUCCUUAGUUACCAUCAGGUUAUGCUGGGGACUUUAAGGAAACUGCCAGUGAUAAACUGGAGGAAGGUGGGGAUGAUGUCAAGGCAUCAUGGCCCUUAUGGAGUGGGCUACACACGUGCUACAAUGGUGAUUACAAUGGGCUGCAAGGUCGCAAGGCUGAGCUAAUCCUAAAAAAUCAUCUCAGUUCGGAUUGUUCUCUGCAACUCGAGAGCAUGAAGUUGGAAUCGCUAGUAAUCGUUGAUCAGCAUGCCACGGUGAAUACGUUCUCGGGUCUUGUACACACUGCCCGUCACGCCAUGGGAAUUGGUUUCACUCGAAGCU